rnacentral:rRNA from 1 species
ACGAACGCUGGCGGCGCGCCUAACACAUGCAAGUCGAACGAGCGAGAGAGAGCUUGCUUUCUUGAGCGAGUGGCGAACGGGUGAGUAACGCGUGAGGAACCUGCCUCAAAGAGGGGGACAACAGUUGGAAACGACUGCUAAUACCGCAUAAGCCCACGGUGCCGCAUGGCACAGAGGGAAAAGGAGCAAUCCGCUUUGAGAUGGCCUCGCGUCCGAUUAGCUAGUUGGUGAGGUAACGGCCCACCAAGGCGACGAUCGGUAGCCGGACUGAGAGGUUGAACGGCCACAUUGGGACGGAGACACGGCCCAGACUCCUACGGGAGGCAGCAGUGGGGAAUAUUGCACAAUGGGGGAAACCCUGAUGCAGCGACGCCGCGUGGAGGAAGAAGGUCUUCAGAUUGUAAACUCCUGUUGUUGGGGAAGAUAAUGACGGUACCCAACAAGGAAGUGACGGCUAACUACGUG